AUUGAACGCUGGCGGCAUGCUUUACACAUGCAAGUCGAACGGUAACGCGGGGGCAACCCUGGCGACGAGUGGCGAACGGGUGAGUAAUACAUCGGAACGUGCCCAGUUGUGGGGGAUAGCUCGGCGAAAGCCGGAUUAAUACCGCAUACGACCUACGGGUGAAAGCGGGGGAUCGCAAGACCUCGCGCUAUUGGAGCGGCCGAUGGCAGAUUAGCUUGUUGGUGGGGUAAAAGCUUACCAAGGCGACGAUCUGUAGCUGGUCUGAGAGGACGACCAGCCACACUGGGACUGAGACACGGCCCAGACUCCUACGGGAGGCUG
rnacentral:rRNA from 1 species